rnacentral:rRNA from 1 species
GUUUGAUCCUGGCUCAGAAUCAACGCUGGCGGCGUGCCUAACACAUGCAAGUCGAACGAGAAAGUGGAGCAAUCCAUGAGUAAAGUGGCGACCGGGUGAGUAACACGUGACUAACCUACCCUCGAGUGUGGAAUAACAUCGGGAAACCGAUGCUAAUACCGCAUAACAUCGCAAGAUCAAAGGAGCAAUCCGCUUGAGGAGGGGGUCGCGGCUGAUUAGCUAGUUGGCGGGGUAACGGCCCACCAAGGCGAAGAUCGGUAGCCGGCCUGAGAGGGCGCACGGCCACACUGGAACUGAAACACGGUCCAGACUCCUACGGGAGGCAGCAGUGGGGAAUUUUGCGCAAUGGGGGAAACCCUGACGCAGCAACGCCGCGUGGAGGAUGAAGCCCCUUGGGGCGUAAA